AGUCAGUUCGACAGGACAACCAUCAAGCUGAACAAGAGGCGAAGGAAAUUAGGGGAGUUGCACAAAUGGAAUAGCACACACAUAAAGGUCCUCCUUCCUCCUAGCAGUGAGGCCCAUAGUUUCCGUCAUGUCCAAAUCGCCGGGGAGAACGUCUUCCGGAAGACUCCAGUCAAAAUAAAACAGAAGACUUGCGAGAGCAAGCUCCAUAUUAGCAAGUGCAAAAUUCAUUCCAGGGCAAAUUCUUCGCCCAGCACCAAACGGUAUGAACUCGAAGUGGUUGCCUUUGUGUUCUAUUGCACUACCCUCAAACCUAUCUGGCAUGAACUUCUCUGGUUCAUCCCAAAUCUCAGCGUCCCUGCAAAUAGCCCAUAUAUUCACGACUACAGUAGCUCUCUUGGGUACGUCAUAGCCGAAACAAAUGGCCCAGGAGUGUGGAGCCGCAGGGUCUCCUUGAUGAUACAAUGCUUCCCUGACCUCGGCCUGUGCCCUCGACAUCACAUCUGGGUUCCUCAUCAGCUCUGCCAUGGCCCAUUGCAGCGUCGUUAUUGGCGCCUCGCUCCCGCCUGCCAAAAGUUCCUGUAUAUAUUGUUUCUCUCUGCUAGUCAAACAAUCAAUCCGUAG
rnacentral:lncRNA from 1 species